rnacentral:rRNA from 1 species
GACGAACCGUGCGAACGUUGUUCGGAUUCACUGGGCUUAAAGGGCGCGUAGGCGGGCGGUCAAGUCAGGGGUGAAAUCUUUCGGCUCAACCGGAAAAGUGCCUUUGAUACUGGCCGUCUCGAGGGAGGUAGGGGCAUGCGGAACUUCCGGUGGAGCGGUGAAAUGCGUAGAUAUCGGAAGGAACGCCGGUGGCGAGAGCGGCGUGCUGGACCUCUUCUGACGCUGAGGCGCGAAAGCCAGGGGAGCAAACGGG